UACGUAGGGUGCGAGCGUUAAUCGGAAUUACUGGGCGUAAAGCGUGCGCAGGCGGCUUGCCAAGUCAGAUGUGAAAGCCCCGGGCUCAACCCGGGAAUGGCGUUUGAAACUGGCAGGCUAGAGUUCGGCAGAGGGGGGUGGAAUUCCACGUGUAGCAGUGAAAUGCGUAGAGAUGCGGAGGAACACCGAUGGCGAAGGCAGCCCCCUGGGCUGACACUGACGCUCAGGCACGAAAGCGUGGGGAGCAAACAGG
rnacentral:rRNA from 1 species